AUCGGCAGGAGUUUAGCAAUAAUAAAAUGGGAUAAAGCGUGUUUGCGUAAACACGGAGAGGAGGCAGGCUCACGCCGUGAAAACAGCUGCAAAAACUGAUGGUGUUUUGGGGUCGGCCGCUUUCAGCUGAAAGACAGAGCUACAUAGGUCACUGUGGCAAGCUAAUAUAUUUAUGGUCCAAAGGGCUCUCCUCACCCCCAGACUUGAGGCUUACAGAGGAAUCCAAGGUGCUGUACACCAAGUACAUCUUCAGCGUGGAGGUCUCAGCAUGUUUUUGGAGUGCAUGGGCAUCACCCAUGCUUACGGAGAGGUGGAGCUCAGUCUGAGAAAGCAAGGGAAUACACGUCUAAGAAGGAGAAACACACUGCGUGACAGCGGAAGGUGAUGCACACUGUCUAGAGAAGGAUUUUGUCUGCUUAUGGUGACCAGCGAGCACCAGGGUGCCAGCAGACAAGGCCACAGGACUAGGCCGAGAAAGCACGAGUGCUGCCUCCAGCCUGCUCCGAGGCCUCCAGGAAACCACCUUAUCUCUCUGCACCUCUUUCUUCCUCCAUAAAACGAGACAAGGCCAAUUUGUAGAGCACUCCGGGGAGUAACAUGACAAACAAGUGUUACAUAUUAGCUGGGGAAUUGCUAUUAGCUCCGAUACCUUUUUUUUGCUUGUGCAAUAGCCACCAUUAAAGGAAGAAGUUGCAGCUCUGAUUGUUAGGUAAUUUCCUAAUUUUGGCUCCAAAUCAGAAUCCAGAAUUCUGAUGAAGUUCAAAGCUCCAAAUUCUUGAAUGCAAUUUUUAAGUUUGAGGUAUUAAUUUCUGUAAAAAGUCCCUAUUAAAGAAAACACAAAUUUUCAUACAGAUUACCUCAAUAAAACAACCUUUUUUUUUUUUUUUUUUUUUUUUUUUUUUUUCCAAUUUACUCUCUCAAAUACCCAAAUGGACACAACUGCUCUGCUCGGCAGAAUUACCUCUUUUUGACGUUUCCCCUCAUUAUGUAUUUAUAGAGAGAUGGCUGCGAGUAACUCCAUUACCAGUUGCGACCAGUAAUUCUAUUAGGCUGAAUCACCGAGUAACCUUGUUUCUGACACUGUAACCAGGUGUGUCCUGUGAAGCAGUGAACUGAAUGCAUCAUGCACUGACUGGCAGCUGGGAUGGACAUACAGCACAGUUGGAAAUGAGAAAACAGUACACAGAUGUGGGAUCUAACAAACUGAGCCAGGAUUUGGAGCCCAUUGUUCCUUGCUGUCCUGUAAUAAUAAUUUUAAUACAAUUAAACUGGGAAAAAAAAAAAAAAA